rnacentral:rRNA from 1 species
GUGGGGAAUAUUGGGCAAUGGGCGCAAGCCUGACCCAGCAACGCCGCGUGAAGGAAGAAGGCUUUCGGGUUGUAAACUUCUUUUACCAGGGACGAAACAAAUGACGGUACCUGGUGAAUAAGCCACGGCUAACUACGUGCCAGCAGCCGCGGUAAUACGUAGGUGGCGAGCGUUAUCCGGAUUUAUUGGGUGUAAAGGGCGUGUAGGCGGGACAGCAAGUCAGAUGUGAAAACCAGAGGCUCAACCUCUGGCCUGCAUUUGAAACUGUUGUUCUUGAGUGUCGGAGAGGUAAUCGGAAUUCCGUGUGUAGCGGUGAAAUGCGUAGAUAUACGGAGGAACACCAGUGGCGAAGGCGGAUUACUGGACGAUAACUGACGCUGAGGCGCGAAAGCGUGGGGAGCAAACAGGAUUAGAAACCCUAGUAGUCC